rnacentral:rRNA from 1 species
GACGAACGCUGGCGGCGCGCUUAACACAUGCAAGUCGAGCGAGAACCGGGGCUUCGGCCCCGGGGACAGCGGCGAACGGGUGAGUAACACGUGGGCAACCUGCCCUCGGCACCGGAAUAGCCCGGGGAAACCCGGAUUAAUGCCGGAUGGCCCCUCAGCCCUGCGGGGCGGUGGGAAAAGGUAGCUUUGGCCUCCGGCCGAGGAUGGGCCCGCGGCGGAUUAGCUUGUUGGUGGGGUAACGGCCUACCAAGGCCCCGAUCCGUAGCUGGUCUGAGAGGACGAUCAGCCAGACUGGGACUGAGAAACGGCCCAGACUCCGACGGGAGGCAGCGGUGGGGAAUCUUGCGCAAUGGGCGAAAGCCUGACGAAGCGACGCCGCGUGAGGGAAGAAGGCCUUCGGGUUGUAAGCCUCUUUCAGGAGGGACGAAGCCACUCGGGUGAAUAGCCCAGAGGGUGACGGUACCUCCAGAAGAAGCCCCGGCUAACUACGUGCCAGCCGCCGCCGUAA